GACGAACGCUGGCGGCGUGCCUAAUACAUGCAAGUAGGACGCAGUUGCGACCGGGUGAGUAACGCGUCGGUCACUACAUAUUAGAGGGGGAUAACUAUUGUAAACGAUAGCUAAUACCGCAUACUAGUAGAGUUACCUACGUUGUAUUAGCUAGUAGGUAGGGUGAAGGCCUACCUAGGCAAAGAUACAUAGCCGAGCUGAGAGGGUGAUCGGCCAACCGGGGAAUGAGGAACUGGCCAGACGCCUACGGGAGGCAGCAGGAGGGAAUUUUCGGAAAUGGGGGGAACCCUGACCAGGCAACGCCGCGUGAGUGAAGAAGGUUUUCGGAUCGGAAAGCUCUGUUGUUAAGGAAGCGGUACUUAACCAGAAAGGGACGGCUAACUACGUGCCAGCAGCCGCGGUAAUAC
rnacentral:rRNA from 1 species